rnacentral:tRNA from 1 species
GCGGGUGUAACUCAGUUGGUAGAGUAUCAGCUUCCCAAGCUGAGGGUCGCGGGUUCGAGUCCCGUCACCCGCUCCA